rnacentral:rRNA from 1 species
UAAUUCGNGCCAACACCCGCGUAAUACGGGAGGUGCAAGCUUUANCCGGAANCAUGGGUUUAAGGGUCCGCAGCCGUCAAUUAAGUCAGAGUGGAUUCCCAUAGCUUAACUAUGGACUGCCUUUGAUACUGGUGACUUGAGUUAUACGGAAGUAGAUAGAAUGUGUAGUGUAGCGGUGAAAUGCAUAGAGAUUACACAGAAUACCGAUUGCGAAGGCAGUCUACUACGUAUAUACUGACGCUCAUGGACGAAAGCGUGGGNNGCNACANGGNUNGAUCCCUGGUAGUCCACGCCGUAAACGAUGGGCACUAGUUGUUGGGAUUUAUCUCAGUGACUAAGCGAAAGUGAUAAGUGUCCCACCUGGGGAGUACGGUCGCAAGAUUGAAACUCAAAGGAAUUGACGGGGGCCCGCACAAGCGGUGGAGCAUGUGGUUUAAUUCGAUGAUACGCGAGGAACCUUACCAGGGCUU